UCGAGCCGGCCCAUUCCUGCAGAAGCAUGACUCUUCCACACUUUUAAUCUUAUUUUAUUUUAUCUAACAUCUUCUUUUUUAUGUUAAGUGGGCCGACGUUUGGCCGCUAUCUCGCCUGAUGGUAAGUGAUGAUGCGGCCUAUGAUGGAGCACGUCUGUCCAUAAGCAACCUAUUCACUCGGGCUUUGAAGACACCCAGGUUAUACCCAUCAGGAAACACAGACUCCGGCAAGGAGUUCCACUCCCUAGCAGUUCGCACAAGGAAGCUUGAAGCGAAGCGCUUCGUGCGAGUGGGUGGGAUAUCUACCAUGAAGCGGUGACGCCUCGCCGAUUGUCUUGUGGUUCGAUGAUGAAAAGGACUAGGGGGAAUCAAGUUGUGCAAUUCCCCCGCA